rnacentral:rRNA from 1 species
CCCUUAGAUGUUCUGGGCCGCACGCGUGCUACACUGAGUGGAUCAGCGGGUCAGGUUGCGCGAAAGUGUUUCCUAAUCUUGAAAUCCGCUCGUGAUGGGGAUUGACGGUUGCAAUUUUCCGUCAUGAACGAGGAAUACCUUGUAAGCGCGGGUCAUCAUCCCGCGCUGAAUACGUCCCUGCCCUUUGUACACACCGCCCGUCGCUCCUACCGAUUGAGUGGUCCGGUGAGGCUUUGGGAUCUGAGCGGAAAGAGCGUUUCGCUGUUUCUGCUCGGAAAACUCAGUCGAACCUUAUCACUUAGAGGAAGGAGAAGUCGUAACA